UGCCCUGCCGCCAGGGGGGCGGCGGAGGAACCCUGAGCGGAAGGAUGCGCUGAAGGUUACCCGUGGCUUUUGCGUACUUCUUGUUUCCUUGGUGGGUUCGCCCACCACUAGGACAAACAUAAACCUUUUGUAAUUGCAAUCAGCGUCAGUAACAAAUUAAUAAUUACAACUUUCAACAACGGAUCUCUUGGUUCUGGCAUCGAUGAAGAACGCAGCGAAAUGCGAUAAGUAGUGUGAAUUGCAGAAUUCAGUGAAUCAUCGAAUCUUUGAACGCACAUUGCGCCCUUUGGUAUUCCAAAGGGCAUGCCUGUUCGAGCGUCAUUUGUACCCUCAAGCUUUGCUUGGUGUUGGGCGUCUUGUCUCUAGCUUUGCUGGAGACUCGCCUUAAAGUAAUUGGCAGCCGGCCUACUGGUUUCGGAGCGCAGCACAAGUCGCACUCUCUAUCAGCAAAGGUCUAGCAUCCAUUAAGCCUUUUUUUCAACUUUUGACCUCGGAUCAGGUAGGGAUACCCGCUGAACUUAAGCAUAUCAAUAAGCGGAGGAAUCUGCGGAGGAAUGAUCAGUAGGCGGAGGAAUUUAAGUCCGAUAUCCCCAAGAUAAAUAAUCCGGAGGAAAACCGAAACAUUUCAACCAGGACGAAUCCCCCGAGAUGAAAGUAUUAUCCUCCGGUUAGCAUCGUGUACGAGUGGUAGGGAUGGUGACUA
rnacentral:rRNA from 1 species